rnacentral:rRNA from 1 species
GACGAACGCUGGCGGCGUGCUUAACACAUGCAAGUCGAACGGCAAGGCCCUGCUUUUGUGGGGUGCUCGAGUGGCGAACGGGUGAGUAACACGUGAGUAACCUGCCCUUGUCUUUGGGAUAACUUCAGGAAACUGGGGCUACUACCGGAUAGGAGCUCCUGCUGCAUGGUGGGCGUUGGAACGUUUCGGCGGUUGGGGAUGGACUCGCGGCUUAUCAGCUUGUUGGUGGGGUAGUGGCUUACCAAGGCUGUGACGGGUAGCCGGCAUGAGAGGGUGAACGGCGUCAUUGGGACUAAGAGACGGCCCAGACGCCUACGUGAGGCAGCAGUGGGGAAUAUUGCACAAUGGGCGGAAGCCUGAUGCAGCAACGCCGCGUGCGGGAUGACGUCCUUCUGGUUGUAAACCGCUUUCGCCUGUGACGAAGCGUGAGUGACGGUAAUGGGUAAAGAAGCACCGGCUAACUACGUG